rnacentral:rRNA from 1 species
CUUUGUAGUCGGGUGGCGGGCGUAGAGCGAGAAUAGGUAAGGGGUAGGUAGAGCAAGAGCAGGAGAGGCGUCCGGGCGAGGUGCGUUCGUGGGGGCGGUGACGGCCGCGAGCUACGCAACCGGCGACGACGUUGACGCACGGCCGCUUCGAUGAAGGGGUGCCCGACCUCAUGCUCGGAAAGUCGACCACGCGUUCCCCUCGACGUUUUGGGUAGAACACCUGGAUGUUCAACAUGUACGUUCGCGACCAUUACCGCCUGUUGGUGGCGACGAUCGGCGGCUGCGGGUCGAAAUGGGCGCUGCCGCCAGACGUUAGUCGACUCACUAUGUUGAUGCCGUUACUCUACGACCCUGGUCGUGGUUUUAAACGAUGUUGGUUACAAAAGACCAAACAGGGUUAAAAUGACAAAAACGAUGGUAGCGAAAAUCUAAACGACCUUGGUCGUGUUUUUAAACGAUGGUAGCCGCAAAAACUAAAAUGACCUUGCUUGCCGUUAAAAACGUUAAACGAUGGUGGUCGCAAAACCAAACGACCUUGGUCUAGGUAAAAAAACGAUGUUGUCUUGUAAAACGAAAACGACCUUGUUUGCAGUUAAAAAAAACGUAAAAACAAAGGUUACCGUAAAACAAAACGACCUUGGCGAUGUUUAAAACGAUGAUGGCCACAAAGCCAAACAACCUUGUAACGGAUUAAAAAAGAUAAAAACGAAAGUAGCAAAAAUAAAAAACGACCUUGGUCGGAGUUUUAAACAAUGGUGGUAUAAGUCUAAAACGACCUUGGCCAUUAAAAAGACUAAGUUGGCCCAUGACCUCAAAAGACAACGGAAAAGCAAACGAUGUUAGACGAUACGCCCUACGACCUUGGAGAACAAAACCGCUUCGACGUUACGGCGCACUUUUGACUACUUCAUCGACGGUCACGCAAAACCACAGCGUUGGUACCCACCGCCUCUACGUUAGGCAGCGACCGUCAAAAGAGUACUUAAAUAGCUCGACGUUGGGCGGGUGUUACCUCAACACUGUCGAAGCAGCCUCUAAAAACGCACCCGGUACCGGUGGUAACGUAGCCACCCUCCCUUCCCCUCUUCUUUCGACGUUGACCGCUCGCUACCGCCUUUUGACGCUGGCCGCCGCUCCCGGCGCUCCGAGCAGGGUUCCACUCCCUCCUACCGACCUCUCCCGCCGCUGGCCUCGACGUCGCACACGCGUACCGCUUAGGUAACUCCCUCGCUCCCCUAAAAAAUAAUAUGAUAUUCGACCCUUGCUUCGCCUUUCUUCUAGACUGCCGAUUGAAAAUAGCUUAGCCUCCCGCAUCCGCACUGGCCGGCUUUGAAAACCCGGCCGCGCGGCCGCGGAUAAUCAGCGGUUUUCUUUUAGCCCACCGCAUUAUUGAAAACGGCUAGCCUAGACGCGGAAUAUAAGAACAGAAGAGGAGGAGGACUGGGUCCGGCUUUGGAUUAGAUCGGCGGAGGAGGGGAGGGUGAGGUCUAGUUGUUUAGAGUGGUACCGGAAGAGGAAAAGGAAACGGUUGGUACCUACCGCCGGCCUAGGAGUGGUACCGGAAGAGGAUGGACAGGCGGCCUAGGAGCUUGGUACCGGAAGUUGAGAGAGGCGGCCUAGGAGUGGUACUGGAACACGAAAGACCUGCGGCCUAGAAGUCGUACCGGCCGGAAGAGUACAGACGGCGGCCUAGGAGUCGUACCGGCAGGCAGGAGCUACCUUGGCCGGAGUCGCGCGGCGCGGCGCGGGCGUCUACGUCUAGAAGGUCGCCUGUCCCUGCACCCUGCCGGCCGUUGUGGGAGGGCCUGGGCAACUGUCGUACUACCGGCGCCGGGAGAAAACCGAACCACCAAGCCAAGGCAAACCAAGCUAGACUCCUACAAGCUCAUAAUAAUAAUCAUAAACUGCAAUCUAUACAAAAUUACCCACCCACCAACUACGUUCUUUCUAAGUAUCGGUAGACGACCGAGAUAAAAUGUAGUCCCGCAGAAGCUAAAAUAUCCAAUAAAAGGGUCUACUAAACAUAGAAAUCCUUAAAAGGGAUUCAUUCGUGAGUAAACGUGAGAUAAAAAUCUCUUUCUAACGGCACGAGAACAAAGUUAAGGCAUUGGAGAAACUAACUACGUAAAAAAAGAAAAAAUCAAAGGGUCAAUAUGAUAAAAAGACCAGUAAAUAUAGUAAUAAUUGGUUCCAAGGAAGCGGUACAAAACUAUCAGGAUGUUUGGUGUCAACAGCAUGUGGUGGAAACCAAUAUCGUGAUCUCAGUUUGUGUGCUCCUAUUCUAUUUAGUAUGGUUGGUACAUUAAACAGUAGAACCACGUAAGCGUAGGGUUGGGGAUACGCUAUCCGAUUCACCCUGUGUACUUGAAGAGAAGAGAUAAGUGGAACAAUUUAGUCAAAAAUAAAAAAACGGCGUUGAGAAUCAUGGUGAAUAACCCUCCACGAUUUAACUCUCCAUCUAAAAAGUUUUAUGUAAAAUAAGUCCGGUACAAUUCGGAAAACUAAAAUCGUGAAUAGGAGUGUAAUAAAUCACAGUAGCAGUCAGGAAGAAAGAUUGGAAGGUAAAGAUGGAUACGUUUACGAGAAACGUACGACUACGGCUCCCGAUCUAAAAAAAAGAUCGUGGUCACGAUUACCUACACUCCGCUACGCGAUUCUAAUUUUUUGAAUCGGGGUGGGGGUGGUGAUCGAGUCAUAGGUGACGAUACGAUUUACUUGAGCGAAAUUCAUCAAAUUAUACAAACAGUUAAAAUCAACUUAAAAAGAUUACAGAUCGAGUAUAUCAACCAGGAUAUUCCACUUAUCGUUCCCUUUUGAUUAUUACAUGAGGGAGGCAGGUCUUUAUGAACAGUAGUUUUACUUAUUUUCCCCUACAAAGAUCUACAUAAAACCAAGAUGUAUGUAGGGAAAAACAGGUAAAACUACUGUUCAUAAAAGCCUGCCUCCCUCAUAAAUAGAAUCGAAGAUUAAACAACCAAAACUUUCUAGGUUUACAAAGUUCACGUUUUCCGCACGAUCUCCUGCGUCCUUAAUCGAUCGCAAACACAAACAGUCAACUUCCUACAAUCUACGAAUUCGCAAAUAGCGGAGAGACCAAGUAUCCAUUUUGUUUCCUUUGUGCAUCCCUCUUUUCCUACAGGAAAUUUUUAAGGACCCCACACUCUACCAACAUAAAAAACAUCGUACCAUUGUAAGAUAAAUCUGAAAAAAAACAGAACAAAUUUAUGUUAAGCUGAUAAAUCAAAUAAUUAUAAGAAAACAAAAACAGUGAAAAAAGAAGAAUAAGUACGUGGUUUGUGCGUACAAGAGUUUUAAAUGCACAAGAGUUAGACGAUAGAACGCUCGCACAGACACGACAUAAGAAAUCAAAGACUCCUAGGACGUUUAGUUACACGGGAAAACGAACACUCUACAUACGUCGGUUCUCUACACUAAUUUGUUGUUACUGAUUAAACUUAUCUCUAUUCUUAGACCACACGGAUAAACAUAAUGGUGAUUUAUUUGAUUCGUAAUACACAUAGUUAAAAAAACCAAGCUGCUUAUGACCAAAUGUAAAAAACUUCAGACACGAGUGGUAGGACACGUGGGAACGAGCAUGUCCUUCCUAAGACAUGGUGAUCAGGUACCCCAUCGACAGUUUUCGACGUGACAAAGGGAUCCGCGAGUUCAAGAAGAAAAUUUUAGUCAAUUCCCACUGAUAAUACCACCGUUUUACCUAACGUCUACAUAGUUUAACGGGAAAACGAACACUCCACAUACGUCGAUUUUAUACGUUAAUUUAUCGUUGAUCACGAAAAUCCUUAUCCGACAGAUGAGGUCAAGCCAUUCUACUUCGUAUCACAAGAUUUCUUCAAUAUGUACUCGUGUCGUUCGUCACAAGAACGAGUUUAUCUCUUCAGAGCCGUCUAGACCACGUGAGAUAAACUUCAUAAGGUGACUGUUGGCGGGGUCAAGAAGUAGACUUUUAUUUUAUUCUUCACCGUAGUCGUCGUUUUGUAUUAGUUCAUAAGUUCCUCUUAACCGUACGUUCCACUGACCUCCGCUCCCUACCGAGUCUUAAAUCGUGAAGACGAGACUCCGGUCACUUCGUCCACCAGUUAGUUGUACAUCGCUCCUUUCCUUGUCUUACCAUGUCCUUCUUAACUACUAGAAUUACCGGGAGAAAGUGAAAGUUGAGUCACGAAAACCUUUAUCCGGCAGAUGAGGUCAAGCCAUUCUACUUCGUAUCACAAGAUUUCUUCAAUAUGUACUCGUGUCGUUCGUCACACGAACGAGUUUAUCUCUUCAAAAACGUCUAGUCUACUUAAAAAACUACUUCGUAAGAUGACUGCGGGAGGGGUCGCGAAGUAGACUUUUAUUUUAUUUUUCACCGUAGUCGUCGUUUUGUAGUAGUUCAUAAGUUCCUCUUAACCACACAUUCCACUGACCUCCGCUCUCUAUCGAGUCUUAGGUCGUGAAUACGGCACUCCGGACCUCAAAUGUCGAUUCUGGCCCGUAACACUAAAUUCCGGAGUUUUGUCAUCAUAGUAACAGUACCAACACCUUAUAUAUCCCUGCUGCGGUACCUUCAAGAGAACACGAGACAAAGUAAGUACCAGCGCCUAUUAUUCAUCUCCAACCGGGGCGACGACUCGGUCGCGCUCGGUGUUUAAACGGUACCACUCGAUGAGGUCUAGGGGAGGGAAUGAAACGAUACGCGAAGCACCGGUAACUCGGUACCUACCAGAAUCAAUUGUAAAACGCCACCGUUAACUAAGAGCCACCCCACACCACCCCAACGUGGACCUGCAAUUAACAAAUAUUACGCACCUUAGGUUUUGAUGUUCUAGACUACUGCUUUUCUAUGUACGAGGAGCGUGGUAUCGACUAUCUACUUAGAAUCGUGUGACUAUAACAGUGUAAAUCAGUCCGACUAAAUAGUUUUCCCCUGCUAUAACCUAAGACAUGGGGUAGACAUCUCAAUACCACCCAGGUGGUGAAGGCCGGUGUGUUAAUCAAAGAGAUUCCAGUCUUCUUGAUGUAGAAGUCGAGUUCGUUAUACACGUAAGUCCAUGACUGGACGGUCUAAGGAAGGUAACAUUAGAUACACUUCUUUUUGUCACUUACAAAGAACUACUUGUUUCCACGGUUACGUUGCUAACGUAGUCAGUAGUUUUCCUGGUACUACAUUUUCAACUUUUGCUUUGUUCCAGAGUCCGUCACGAAUCAAAGUACCGUGUUACAAAGACAACAAAAAUCUGCAAAUCGCGACAAGGUAUCUGUAUCUGUACUUUACCAAUGAACAUACCUUCGUCCGAGCUGUUACACUACAAAUAUAUUAACCAUUUGGUUGUUCUUCAUUGACCUGCACGAGAGAACGCACGUACCGUUUAUUACACGAACGUUUUUAUCUUCCAUUGAAUGUUCAAGAAACUAGAAACUUAGAAACCUGAACUAGGGCCACAAGGGGAACUACGACCGAUUGAGUAGAGCGGACAAACUCGAACCGAAAUUUGGUUCCGACGUUACGCCUUUAAACAAUCCACGGUCAAACAUACAAACAUUUAAAACGUUAAAACACACACACAAAAAUG